rnacentral:lncRNA from 1 species
CCUCUUCUUAAAAACAUAAACCAUCUAAACGAUAGUAUGACACCAGGUGGAAAAUAAGAAAGCUUAUUGAAUGCAGAGUUGAGGUUAAAAAACAAUGGUAUUUUUGUUCAAUCUUUUUUUUGAAAGUUUUUUUUUGUUCAAUCUGCUUCUUUAUUUAUUGGAAACUAAAUCUGUUUAUUUCAUAAAUUAUGUUGUUUUUCAGAAAGCAUAUUUCGGAAACCAUAAAUUAUACCUUGGGAAAAUUGAUAACAUCAAGCUCCAUAUUUCGGUGCCUUCCAAAGCUUGAAUGCAACUUCAUGAAGAAAGCGGUCAGAAAGCAUAGAGAGGUUACAACCAUGCUGCAUGGAGAAUGGAUAGUCAAAUAUUUACAUAGAUAUCACGAUACAUAACAACAUAAUAUUACGGAUUGAUACAAAAAAUCUGGUAUUGUAAAAAGAGUGAUCAUACCUCUAAUUUAGUGUUAACAUUAUACUUAUUUAGAUCAUAGAGACCCAAUAUAGAAAUAUUUAAGCUCAUAGGACCAUGGAGACCAUUAGUGAUUAAAGAG